UACGUAGGUCCCGAGCGUUAUCCGGAUUUAUUGGGCGUAAAGCGAGCGCAGGCGGUUGGAUAGGUCUGAAGUUAAAGGCUGUGGCUCAACCAUAGUAUGCUUUGGAAACUGUUCAACUUGAGUGCAGAAGGGGAGAGUGGAAUUCCAUGUGUAGCGGUGGAAUGCGUAGAUAUAUGGAGGAACACCGGUGGCGAAAGCGGCUCUCUGGUCUGUAACUGACGCUGAGGCUCGAAGGCGUGGGUAGCGAACAGG
rnacentral:rRNA from 1 species